CUAACACAUUCAAGUCGAACGAAGUUAUUACGAAUGAAGUUUUCGGAUGGAUUUUGUUUUAACUUAGUGGCGGACGGGUGAGUAACGCGUGAGCAACCUGCCUUUGCAAUCGGGAUAACAGCCGGAAACAGCUGCUAAUACCGAAUAACGUAUACGAGUCGCUUGGCUUGUAUACCAAAGAUCCGUUGUGCACAGAUGGGCUCGCGUCCGAUUAGUUAGAUGGUGAGGUAACGGCUCACCAUGACUGCGAUCGGUAGCCGGACUGAGAGGUUGAACGGCCACAUUGGAACUGAGAUACGGUCCAGACUCCUACGGGAGGCAGCAGUGGGGAAUAUUGGGCAAUGGGCGCAAGCCUGACCCAGCGACGCCGCGUGAAGGAAGACGGUCUUCGGAUUGUAAACUUCAAACAACAGGGAAGAAACAAAUGACUGUACCUGUUAGGAAGCCACGGCUAACUACGUGCCAGCCGCCGCGGUAAGAC
rnacentral:rRNA from 1 species